rnacentral:lncRNA from 10 species
CUUCAGUCUCCGAUUGACCACAGGCCUUCAUAAGGUGUAUCUAAUUGGAGGCUUCAAAACAGCCCCUAGUGGCGUUGCCGGAUUCUUUUGGCUUAAUAAAAACCCUAAUGGUGGAGAGGGGUUCUUGAGCUCUUGAGCCACUCCCGCUCUGUGAAUUGUACUUUCACUUCUUCAGUAAACCUGCACUUUUUUUUUCUCUUUCCUUUUGUUGCUUUGUCUUUCAUUGCUUCGUUCUUUUGUUUCUUUGUGCGUUUUGUUCAAUUAUUUGCUCAACAUGCCCAGAACCUGGACAACUCACAGUAAAGACCUUCCAACAGGCAAAGAGGACCUGAAGAGCUGCAGCCAUCUGGGAAUUGGACUCAGUGGGCCAUGUUUUUCCAGAGAGUGCAGUGUUCUUUUCAAAACUCUCAGUAGAGACCAAUCUUCCUCUACUUUCUGAGUCCUGGGGAAGUAAGUAGAAAGGCUGCAAUGAUAUGGAGUUCCCAACUUUCAGCAUCCCGUCCAAUAGGUGCUACAGACUACAAGUCUUAAAAAACUUGUUCCUCAGAUCACUCACACUUGGACAUCAGAGAGCAACAGUAACUACUUCUAUGGCUGUUUCAGGAGUUUGUUUAGGUGGCAGGAAGAAGUGCCAAGGGAAGAAGGAAGAGCCCCCUAAAAAAUGAUCAGAUCUUGUCAAAACUCAUUCACCGUCACGAGAGAAGCAUGGAGGAAACUACCCCAUGAUUCAGUUACCUCCACUUGGUUUCUCUGUUCACACAUGCUGAUUACGGGGAUUGCAAUUCAAGAUUAGAUUUGGGUGGGAACACAAAGCCUAACUAUAUUAAGAAGUGAUCCCUAGAUAUCUAUUUUUUGAAUGGUAUUGUAGAAAAUUAUUAUUUCUUAAAUGUUUCGUGGAAUUCACUGGUGAAGUCUGGGACUGCAGCUUUCUUUUUUGGAAGGUAUUAAUUAUUCAAAUUCUUUAAUCAAUAUAUACCUAUUCAGAUUAUCUGUUUCUUCUUAUGAGGAGUUUGUAGUUUUUAUCUUUCAAAAUAUUGAUUAAUUUUAUCAAAGUUAUCAAAUUUGUUGGCAUACAGUCGUUCGUAGUAUUCCUUGAUUAUCCUUCUAAUACCCAUGAGAUGACCCUUCUUUUAUUUCUGAUAUUGGUAAUUUUUAUUUUCUCUUUUUUUCUUCGUUAAAGUACCUACAGCUUUAUCAAUUUUAUCAAUCUCUUCAAAAAAGAAGCUUGAAUUUUUUAUUUUCUGUAUUUUACUGAUUUUAAUUACAUUAAUUUCUGCUCUGUUUUUUAUUUCUUCUGCUUGCUUUAUGUUUAAAUUGCUCUCUGUUCUCUAUUUUCCUAAUAUGGAACUUAGAUUAUUAACUUUAGGUCUUUCUUCUAAUAUAUGCAUUUAAUGCUGUAGAUUUCCCUCUAUUCAUUGCUUGCUGCAUUUCACAACUUUUGAUAAGUUGUAUUUUCAUUUUCAUUUAAUUCAAAACCCUUUUUAAUUUCUCUUGAGGCGUCUUUGACCAAAGUGGUAUUUAGACAUAUGUUGAAUCUGUAUUCUUACUGACCUUUUGCCUCUUUGACUUAGUAAUUACUGAUAAAGGAGUGCUAGUCUCUAACUAUAAUAGUGGAUUUAUACAUAAACUUAAGAUUUUUUUAUCUCUUCUUGUGUAAUUAACCACAUUAUCAUUAUUUAAUACCCUAUUUAUAACCAACAGUUUUCCUUGUUUGAACUCUGCCUUGUCUGAAAUUUAUAUAAUUACUCCAGCUUUCUUUCGAAUAGUACUAACAUGGUAUAUCUUUUAACUUAUUCAAUUGCUAAAAUUUAAAGUAGGUUCUCAUAGAUAAUAUGUUUGGGUCUUGUUGGUUUCCGCCCAAUUCUGACAAUCUAUUUUUAAAUUGAUUUAAGUGACUCACAUAUGAAGUGAUUAUUGAUACAGUUGAAUUAAUAUCUUUCUAUUAUUUUAAUGUGUCCCUUAAAGUUAAUAUGUUGAAAACUUGAUCCCCAACCUAUUGGUGUUGCGAAGUAGGGCCUGUUGGGAGGUGAAGCCUAAUGGGAGAUGUUUGGAUCCUGUGAGCACCUCUCUUAUGAGUGAAUUAAUGCUGUUAUUACAAAAGUAGAUUUGUUAUAGCAGGAGUAGGUCUCUUAUAUAAUGGAUGAGUUCAGUCCCCUUUUGCCCUCUGCCCUCCUGCCAUAGGAUGAUGCAGCAGGAAGGCCCUCAGAAGAUGCUGGCCCGUCAGUCUUGGGCUUUCCAGCCUCAAGAACCAUGAGUCAAUAAAUUACAGCUCUUUAUAAAUUAACCAGUCUGUGUUAUUUUUAUAGCAACUCAAAAGGACUAAGACAUAUUUAUUAUAUUUGUAACUAUUUUCUAUUUGUUGCUCUUCUUUUUUCUUUUCUUCCCCUUCCUUCUGCCUUUGCUACUUUUAAAUGAAUGUUUUAUUA